GUCUGGGAACAAACAUCAUUGUAUGCUGUUUCAUUCUUGAAUGCGCAGCAAAUGCUGUGAUCCUGAUGUCAUUAGAUUUUGUCUAUAAAUAAGAUGACAUCACUUGGGCAGUACGUAUUAUUUCUGCAUUAUUUCAUCAUGUAUUUAAAUUGAUGAAAACGACAAUAGUGAUUAAUGAAUUAUACUUCACUGAAUUAUACUUCACUGCCAUAGAAUAUUAUAUGUGCAGAAUAUGAUAUUGUUGGUGAACUGUAAAGAUGUCUUUUCAAAAUCUCUACAUACUUCAUGCUAUGAAUGGUACUACCGAAAGCUACCAUUGACUUUGCCAACUCCAUACCAUGAUAGUCUGGGUAUGAUCCACUCUGUCUGUCACGAUUAAGUACACCAGGAGACGCACCUCGCACCAAUCUGCAUGACAGCGGAACCUGGUUAUAAGGAACUUUGGAGCAGCUGAUCGGGGCUGCAACAUUUUUAUGUGGACCGGGCACAUCAGUUCUGGCAAUCGGCACACGCCUGCGGAUAAUUUGAAAGAUGAUCUACUCCUGUUCUCCUGUUCUCCUCCUGUUCUCAGGGAUAUUUACUAUAGCUCACUGUCAUCAGCUUCACGACAACAUCACAGCUGUUGAGACGCUGAAGUUGAUCCAGGUAACCACUGGUCCAGCAUUGGGUCCUAUUGACAGACGGACUGCAUCUGAGGGAACAGCUUUCAAAAAAAGUCCAGGCAGCAGAGGACAAGUUGCCUCAGCUUCAAAAAAAGUUGCGGCUCCAAGACGCUAUCGACGGUGUCGCUGCUUCCGGAAGAAAGCAAAAACCAGCUUGUCUCCAGCUCCGACCCGUUCUGCAGCUUUCAACACAUCUGCAUUUAAGGAAACCAUGACCACAAUUUCUGAAGUUGUUCAACUGGCUUUUGAACCUUCAACUACCAAUUUAACAUUACCUUCCUGUAUUCAAACUGAUAAACCUACCAGAAAAACUGCUUCUUCUCCAUCUGCUGCACCUGAAAUUCCAAGUAGCACUACAUUUAGAACAGCAGAUUCUGUGAAACGAACUAUAGGAACACCUAUACAUUCUGUACAUUCUGCACAUUCUGUUGCUACUCCUGUCAGUACUCCUUCACCUGCACCAUCAACUGAGUCUCCUGAUGUCACCCCAUCUGCUACAACAGAAAACCCGACCAGCUCCACACAGGUCAUCCAUACCUCAAAAAGUCCACCAGAGCUUCCAGAACAUACAACAACCAGUGCUGAAAGAGCUUCUGCGACCACUGAAGUUACUGUGACCAAAUUCACCACUUUGAUUGCAGCAGAUGCAUUCUUUGUUAAAGAUGAAAUUCCAACCGCAACUUAUUCCUCUAAUGAUUUAGUUCAUUUCUCUUCAGAAACUCCAACUUCUCCCAUUUCAGAUGCUGAAAGUACCCCACAGGCUUAUACAUCAUUCAGCCAAAUUUUAUCAAAGUUUUAUAACAAAGCAGCUCCUGUUAUUGAUGUGACUGUUCCAGAAACCCCAGUGGAAAUAUCUGCCAAAGCCACCAGCGUCAGUUCUACCAGGGAAUCAAGUACAGCUACCCUAUUCAGUACAUCCAGCGUCACAAUGACUUUAGAACCUAGAAUGACAGAUGACUUCCCAGUGAGUACAGGUGCACCUACUGUUACUGAAACCUCAACCCCAAUAACAGAAAUAUCAAUACCUGAUAUCGAAGUGGCUGCUGAUACUAAAGCUUUUGAGACUGCGGAUUCUGCUGUUAGUUAUUCACCUUCACCUGCUAAUUCAAACACUCCUAUUUCAACUUUUACUUCAACGCAAUCAGCACUUGGAAAGUCCUCAGAUGCUACAAGAAAGUCUGCUACAUUUUUAACUUUAUUAACUGCAAGAGAAACUUCAGCUAGCUCCACACUGACAACCCCAGCUCCUGCUGCUUGGACUUCCAUGCCUUACACUGCACCGCCUGUGACUGUAAAAACCCAAGCAGAAGUUCCACCAGCUGACAGUACAUCCGGAAUGUCUAGAGUAUCCUCUGUCCCAGGAACACCACUUGGCAUUUCGGAUCAUUCUCCUGCAGAACAAUCUAUUCUAUUUCGAUCAAUGAGACUAGAAGAACAGAGUACCACUACAUUUGGACCAAAAAGUACUACUGGUGGAUCUUUUGGUACUACCACGAUUUCUAGUUCUGAAAUGUCCCCGACCCUUACAGAAGUGUCCAAUGUUGGAGAAACUACACUAAAUUCUUCAUACAUCCAUCAUGGUAAACCAACUCCAUUAGACAGAAAGGCCACUAUUUCUGCUGGUACUGACGAAAAAGCCACAACAGAAGGACUGGCUAAUACAAGGGAUGACCACAGUAUUUCCACAAACAUUGAUACUAAAUUAGCUAUGGCAGCCAUGACUUCUCAUUCAGAAGAUACAGUCAACACAACUGAUUCUUCAGAUGACAUUACUGCUCCUUCAGCAGGUCAUGAUAGAGCAGCUCUUCCAGCAAUCAUACAUACAUCUCCCAGUAUAACACCUUCUGUGGCUACUUCUGGUAAUGAAAAAAGACAGACGGUCCAUUCAGGUGAAGCUACUACUGCACUUUCGUCUCCUAAAAUUGCUGGAUCAACUCCCAGUUCAGACAUUUACUUCACUUACACAGCAGUGGCUAUGAAUUUAAAAACCUCAGACUCUACAAAAAAGUCUGCUACAUUUUUAACUUUAUUAACUGCAAGAGAACCUUCAGCUAGCUCCACACUGACAACCCCAGCUCCUGCUGCUUGGACUUCCAUGCCUUACACUGCACCGCCUGCGGAUGUAAAAACCCAAGAAGAAGUUCCACCAGCUGACAGUACAUCCAGAAUGUCUAGAGUAUCCUCUGUACCAGGAACACCACUUAGCAUUUUGGAUCAUUCUACAGCUUCUACUGCAGAACAAUCUACUCUAUUUCUAUCAAUGACACUAGAAGAACAGAGUACCACUACAUUUGGACCAAAAAGUACUACUGGUGGAUCUUUUGGUACUACUACAUUUUCUAGUUCUGAAAUGUCCCCAACCCUUAGCGAAGUGUCCACUGUUGGAGAAACUACACUCAAUUCUUCAUACAUCCAUCAUGGAAAACCAACUCCAUUAGACAGAAAGGCCACUAUUUCUGCUGGUACUGAUGAAAAAUCCACAACAGAAGGACUGGCUAAUACAAGGGAUGACCACAGUAUUUCCACAAACAUUGAUACUAAAUUAGCUAUGGCAGCCAUGACUUCUCAUUCAGAAGAUACAGUCAACGCAACUGAUUCUUCAGCUGACAUUACUGCUCCUUCAGCAGGUCAUGAUAGAGCAGCUCUUCCAGCAAUCAUACAUACAUCUCCCAGUAUAACACCUUCUGUGGCUACUUCUGGUAAUGAAAAAAGACAGACGGUCCAUUCAGGUGAAGCUACUACUGCACUUUCGUCUCCUAGAAUUGCUGGAUCAACUCCCAGUUCAGACAUUUACUCCACUUACACGGCAGUGGCUAUGAAUUUAAACCAUGUAAUAGAACAUCCUGCUGCUGACAGUACGUCUGUAUUAUCUACAACAAUUUCUACAUACUCUCCAAGCAUUAGGAAGGAUUUCCCAGCCUCUGGUCCAGCGCCAGGAGAAGUUCCAGUCACUACUGGCAACGUUGGUUCUUCUACGACAACAGCAGUUCCAAACUCAAUUGACAUUCCAAUUCAUGUGAAAAUGGUCACUACUGCUCUCACUCCUUCUCUAAACAUGGCAACAACAGAACCAAAAAGUACACAUGUUUGGUUGGUUCCAGUGGAAUCAACUAAAAUGCUUACAACUGGAACAGAACUAGUUUCUUCUAGCACUACAGAAGCUUUUAGCAUUCUAUCUGCUGGAAAAAUGACAGUACCACCUACUAUGACAAUUAAUACAACCUCUUUGGCUGCUAUGGGAGUUGGAACAGGAACCGAAUCCCCAACCGCUACAACAAGUACACCUUCUAUUAAAAGAGGUGUUUCUACUACAGCUACUACAGUAUCUGCCGCUGUAACAACUACUACAUCAACUACAUCUUCAGCUAUACCCUCUGAAAUUUCUUCAACAACACUCUCUGCUGCAACUACUACAACCACCACCACCACAACAACAACAACAGCACAGGCAGCCAGAGUAGUGUCACAUCGUCCAGAUCCAACCGCCACUAUCCAGUUUGUCAUAAGCAUACCGUAUGUACCGGAACUGAAUGACUCUGAGAGUGAUGAAUUUAAGACACAGGCCAAAGUGAUUACUGAUGCGUUGGAUUCCAUCUACAGCAAAAAAUAUGGAGACUUAUUUGUCAAAUCUGUGGUGACAGGCUUCAGUCGCCAGUCACGCAGUCGAGCUGACUAUGUAGAAGCAGAAGUGGAACUGAUCUUCAAUCAGAAGUCAGUAGAACCAAUCCCUGCCAACAGUGAGAUUACAAACACCCUGGUUGAUGCCGUUCAGGAGACCGUCAAUGACACCUUCCUGCAAAUGGUGAACAUCCAAACGAUUAUCUUGUCAAAAGGCCCCCAAAGCACACCAAAUGCACGGUUCUCCACCAACGAGAUAUUUGUUCCAGACCUGGCAGAUCCAAAAUCUCUCGCUUUUCAAGAAAGAGCGUCACACGUCAAAGCCGAGCUUGAGCCCUUUUUCUUUGACGACUUCAAGCCGGAUUUCAUCUUGUUGACAGUAAUGAAUUUCAGCCAAGGAUCAAUCGUUCAUACCUACAAUCUAAUCUUCACCAGCAAUGCCACUUUACCCACAAGUACAGCUAUUGCAAGCACAUUGCUCAAGGCGGCACGCAGUGGCACAUUGUCCUUUAACAUUACCACGAUAGAUGGAAAAGAUAUUUUCUCCAACAUAAGCAAUACAAUUGUUCUAAACAGUGAAAUACCGCUGUACGGCAGCAACCUAAGCAGUGUCCCCACUCUGCGUUCUACCGGCAGUCUCAUUGGAUUGUCUCUGCUAUUGACGCUGAAGCCACUGCUCCUAUGAAAAAUCUAUUCCACCUCUGGAAAGUUUCUUUUCUCCAUGUUCAAAUCCACUCAACCACAUGGACCCAAAGAUAGCUUUGCGUGUAGACCAUACAAUGCCCCAUAUAAAGGAUGGGGGGGUUGCAAGAAUGUGAUGAAUAUACUGUCAUUUUUGAGCAUUUUUAUAUUAAAAAAAAUUUCAUUUAUUCAUGUUUUUGUUCCUUAAAUAGAGCCUUAUUCUCUGAUUGUUUUGACAGUACAUUUUUCUUGAAAUGAAAUAUAUGGCCAGUGGUGGAGUUCAAGUAGAGUUACACAAUGUAAAAUAUAACUCCAGUUCUCCCUUUUAAAAGCUAGAAAAAGUACUUCAAAUGUUCAAUAAAAAAUAGGUGGGCCCACUAUUUUCA
rnacentral:lncRNA from 1 species